rnacentral:rRNA from 1 species
UACGGGGGGGGCAAGCGUUGUUCGGAAUUACUGGGCGUAAAGGGCUCGUAGGUGGCCAACUAGGUCACACGUGAAAUCCCUCGGCUUAACCGGGGAACUGCGUGUGAUACUGGAUGGCUUGAGUUUGGGAGAGGGAUGCGGAAUUCCAGGUGUAGCGGUGAAAUGCGUAGAUAUCUGGAGGAACACCGGUGGCGAAGGCGGCAUCCUGGACCAAUACUGACGCUGAGGAGCGAAAGCCAGGGGAGCAAACGGG